GGUACUUGUACCGACUGGAUGAGCAGCGAACGGGUGAGUAACGCGUGGGGAAUCUGCCUUUGAGCGGGGGACAACAUUUGGAAACGAAUGCUAAUACCGCAUAAAAACUUUAAACACAAGUUUUAAGUUUGAAAGAUGCAAUUGCAUCACUCAAAGAUGAUCCCGCGUUGUAUUAGCUAGUUGGUGAGGUAAAGGCUCACCAAGGCGAUGAUACAUAGCCGACCUGAGAGGGUGAUCGGCCACAUUGGGACUGAGACACGGCCCAAACUCCUACGGGAGGCAGCAGUAGGGAAUCUUCGGCAAUGGACGAAAGUCUGACCGAGCAACGCCGCGUGAGUGAAGAAGGUUUUCGGAUCGUAAAACUCUGUUGGUAGAGAAGAACGUUGGUGAGAGUGGAAAGCUCAUCAAGUGACGGUAACUACCCAGAAAGGGACGGCUAACUACGUGCCAGCAGCCGCGGUAAUACGUAGGUCCCGAGCGUUGUCCGGAUUUAUUGGGCGUAAAGCGAGCGCAGGUGGUUUAUUAAGUCUGGUGUAAAAGGCAGUGGCUCAACCAUUGUAUGCAUUGGAAACUGGUAGACUUGAGUGCAGGAGAGGAGAGUGGAAUUCCAUGGGUUAGCGGUUGGG
rnacentral:rRNA from 1 species